rfam:Oryza sativa Japonica Group DNA, chromosome 3, cultivar: Nipponbare, complete sequence.
AAUAAGCGUAGCUGUGGGUUUCAGUGCCCAACUUCCAACUUUGACCAUCGUCUUAUUUUAAAUAUUUUUUUAUUAGUAUUUUGUUUGUUAUUAGAUGAUGAAAUAUGAACAGUACUUUAUGUGUGACUUAACUUUUAAAGUAUUUUCAUAAAUUUUAUAAAUAAAACGGACGGUCAAAAGUUAGACAUGGAAACUUAUGGUUGCAAUUAUA